rnacentral:rRNA from 1 species
ACCUCGAUGUCGGCUCAUCACAGCCUGGGGCUGUAGUAGGUCCCAAGGGUUGGGCUGUUCGCCCAUUAAAGUGGUACGCGAGCUGGGUUCAGAACGUCGUGAGACAGUUCGGUCCCUAGCCGUCGCAGGCGUAGGAAAUUUGAGAAGACCUGUCCUUAGUACGAGAGGACCGGGAUGGACGUACCUCUGGUGUACCAGUUGUCCUGCCAAGGGCAUGGCUGGGUAGCUAUGUACGGAAUGGAUAAGCGCUGAAAGCAUCUAAG